GAUCGUAAAGCCCUUUCGACAGGGACGAUGAUGACGGUACCUGUAGAAGAAGCCCCGGCUAACUUCGUGCCAGCAGCCGCGGUAAUACGAAGGGGGCUAGCGUUACUCGGAAUUACUGGGCGUAAAGGGCGCGUAGGCGGCUUGGUCAGUCAGGCGUGAAAUUCCUGGGCUUAACCUGGGGACUGCGCUUGAUACGGCCAGGCUUGAGGCCGAGAGAGGGUGGUGGAAUUCCCAGUGUAGAGGUGAAAUUCGUAGAUAUUGGGAAGAACACCGGUGGCGAAGGCGACCACCUGGCUCGGUUCUGACGCUGAGGCGCGACAGCGUGGGGAGCAAACAGGAUUAGAUACCCUGGUAGUCCACGCCGUAAACGAUGUGCGCUGGAUGUUGGGGCCCCUAGGGUCUCAGUGUCGUAGCCAACGCGGUAAGCGCACCGCCUGGGGAGUACGGCCGCAAGGUUGAAACUCAAA
rnacentral:rRNA from 1 species